rnacentral:rRNA from 1 species
GACGAACGCUGGCGGCGUGCCUAAUACAUGCAAGUUGAGCGCUGAAGGUUGGUACUUGUACCAACUGGAUGAGCAGCGAACGGGUGAGUAACGCGUGGGGAAUCUGCCUUUGAGCGGGGGACAACAUUUGGAAACGAAUGCUAAUACCGCAUAAAAACUUUAAACACAAGUUUUAAGUUUGAAAGAUGCAAUUGCAUCACUCAAAGAUGAUCCCGCGUUGUAUUAGCUAGUUGGUGAGGUAAAGGCUCACCAAGGCGAUGAUACAUAGCCGACCUGAGAGGGUGAUCGGCCACAUUGGGACUGAGACACGGCCCAAACUCCUACGGGAGGCAGCAGUAGGGAAUCUUCGGCAAUGCACGAAAGUCUGACCGAGCAACGCCGCGUGAGUGAAGAAGGUUUUCGGAUCGUAAAACUCUGUUGGUAGAGAAGAACGUUGGUGAGAGUGGAAAGCUCAUCAAGUGACGGUAACUACCCAGAAAGGGACGGCUAACUACGUG